AACCGCUGAAAGCAUCUAAGCGGGAAGCCGGCCACAAGAUGAGUUAUCCCUCAGACUUUAAGUCUGCUAAAGGGUCGUUGGAGACCACAACGUUGAUAGGCAGGGUGUGGAAGCGUGGCGACACGUUAAGCUAACCUGUACUAAUUGCCCGAGAGGCUUAACCA
rnacentral:rRNA from 1 species